AUGCUCGCAUGUGCAAAUAUUCCUUGUGGUACGCAGUUAAUAUUUUGUUUUCUCAGCCUAAGUUAUCUUGUAGCUCCUGAUCUAGAAAUAGCUUACCUCUUGUCAGUAAUGGCAGUUCAAGAAACAACAACUGAUCAAGUGUUGUACUGCUGUACUUAUUUGGCUUUGGCUGUGGAGAAAAUUUAUGCAUGCCCACUGAACCACCAAGCAAUGGAAAACUGGUCACAAUGUUGCACUGAUGGAGGCUGGUGGAAGGGUAUCAUCCCUGUUGUCGUCAUUGCAUUUGCUGAGUCUAAGCUUCAGGUUUCUCCUGCAUUUCCCCAUGUAUAUAGCUUAGCAAUCAAUUGCUUGGACUAA
rnacentral:rRNA from 1 species